rnacentral:piRNA from 1 species
UAAAGAACUGAAAUUCCCUGUAGUUCAGA